rnacentral:lncRNA from 1 species
GGAGCUCUUCAAACCAUUACUGAAAUUGCCAUUAAGAUACACCUGCUGCACAAGCUUUCUCAAGUACUUUUUUCCACUGGAUUUCUGCCUUUUCUUCCCCCACCUUCACCUCAUGAAGUUCUGUGCAUCAUUCAAGGUCAAUUUCUAGCAUCAGGCCCUUCAAGAUCUUGCUCACAUGGGAUUGGUGAGUGUCUGUGGUGUUGCAGGUACCAUGUCAAAGUGUGGAAUAGCAAGAUGUCUAAGACAAGGUACUGUCCUUCAGGAAACAUACAAUGUAAUGGAGGGAACUCCCUCAGAGAUCGUUUCAGUAUAAGGAGUGAGUCCAGCAGUAGAAGUGUUACAAACACAUUCUUCGUUCCUUAUUUGAACCGCCAAAGCAGGUGGCUGAUGUCCCUCUUUUGACAAUAAUCUUAUUCAGUAAUAAAGUACAGUGCAAAGAGAAGCUUUAUUAAACU